UUUCUUACCUGCAAUUGAUGUUGCAGUGGCAACAAGAAGAAUUGAAGAAAGAAUACACAGAAGUACAAACACUCUUCUAGAUCUGGAAUACAACAUACUGUCUGAUUUCUUUUUUUUUCGAUUUUGUUUUUAAUGUUUAUUCUCUUGUUUCUGUGUUUUUAUGUUAAUUAUCGAUAAUCGAUCGUUGAUAGAGAAACAAUGGCAGACGUGUUAAGACCACGAUUGAUUUGAGAUCCCGCUUGACGCGGUUCUCUUCUCUUCCUCGAAUCCAUGGCCUUUUUAAUUUACAAAUCACAUUUCCUUAAUUUUGUUUUUAUUUCCCCAUUUCAAAAGUUUUUUAAUGUGCAUUCCGAAAGAAGUUUUUACUAAAUAUUUUGAGAAGAUUGUCAGGCUAAUUAUUUUCUUUUGGUAAUUAAUUCAAGAUUUAAAUAUGAAGUAAUUUGUUACAAUAUUCCAAAAAAUUAUGUAUUUUUAAAAGGGAACACGGUUUUUAUUAUUUUGUAGUAUUUUUUUUACCAACAGAUUAAAUAUUUAAAACGGUUAGAAAUUCAAAGAAAUAAUAUCAAUUUUUUUUAUCGACAGUCUAAGUAUCUAGAAUGGUUUAGCUAACCAAACUGGAGAUACCAAGUUUACAUAAAUAACGUUGUGAGGAUAGAUACGAGCAUUUCUUAUUAGUUUAUCUGUCUUCGAAUUCUCUGCACGUAAGAUAUGCGAUACUCAAAUGAAUUUCUCCUUUAUCUUCCCAAUUUUUUCCAGGUGUAGAGCAAAAGCUGGCCAUUCGUCGGGGAUAGAUACUAUCUUCACCAAUUCGGAACAGUCUGUUGCAAAAGCUACUUAGGUCUUGUGAUUUUCUAUCAUGCAGUGCAUGGUCCAAAUAAGAGCUUCCACCUCUGCAUGUAGUGAUGUAAGACUCCUCCGUAUAUUUUUUGCACCCACAAUUUUAUCAAUAGCACCUUCGUUAAAAU
rnacentral:lncRNA from 1 species